rnacentral:lncRNA from 1 species
CGGUGCCUGCCUGCCACUCCGGGGGCCCCCGGGACGGGCCAGGGCCGGGGCGCCCCCUGGCGGCGCGGCGCCCCCAUGCAGGUCCUUUCCCUCCUUUCCCUGGGACCUUGGGCUAGAGCUCCAGAGCCCUGAGUGCGAGAGGGUUCCAUGCGAGGUAGUUCAAAGGGAGGUUGGAAAAUGGCCCACAGGGAGCUCGGCCCUGCCGCUUGAGGAAGGCGUCUGAUUAAAGCGCGGUUCUUACAACACCGUGUCCCAUGAACAAAAAUACGGGGAGGGGCUGCGGGACCCCGGUGUGCGACCUUUGCCACCAUGGCUCGGUGCACACAUUUGGGUGAUGGGCUGGCCUGCCUGGCACAGGUGAGCGCUCAGUUUUCCUUAUCCGACGGUGACAGGUGGGCGAUCACCACUGUCUCCAGUUUGCAGUCGGGGAGACUGAGCUCGGUGGGGCACGGGGCUGCUCUCUCUCUUCCAGCCCGGACAGGGGUUGAGCAGCGCGGACUGACGCUUGAAUGGCUAAUGGAGCCCCCGCUGAGGGGAUGUUUGAGGUGUAAAAGUGGGAGACUGCGAGGUGCCCCAAAUUCUCUGCCCAAGGACGUGGGGGGAGGCGGCUUCCCAUGAGCGGUCCUGCUGGUCACUCGGAGAAAGGAAAAGACCAGAGGGCUGAGCCAGGGGCAUUGGGUGGUUGAGGCACCCCCCCCCCGCGCGCGUUCCCCACUUGCAGCCAACUUGGCGGCCACCGACGUGACCUUCCUGUUGUGCUGCGUGCCCUUCACGGCCUUGCUGUACCCGCUGCCCGCCUGGGUGCUGGGCGACUUCAUGUGCAAGUUCGUCAACUAUAUGCAGCAGUCUCGGGUCUCAGAGGACCCCAAAUGGCCCCCUCAAACCUCCACUAUCCUAUCUGGUGUCCUCUCUGGUGUCGCUCUCUCCUGCCCCUUCAACCCAUGGCUCCUGGAGACCUUCCCAGGACACGUCCCGUUUGUGCCUGAGUGUUUGGACAUCUGGGGGGAGCCGCAGUAUGGGCGCAGGCAGACAGGCCCCAGACCGGACACGGGGCGAAACGCCCAGCUCUCGGCCCUCGCAGGUCUCGGUUCAGGCCACGUGCGCCACCCUGACCGCCAUGAGCGUGGACCGCUGGUACGUGACCGUGUUCCCACUGCGCGCCCUGCACCGCCGCACGCCCCGCCUGGCUCUGGCGGUCAGCCUGGGCAUCUGGGUGGGUGAGUGCAGCGUGAGGGCCUCACGGGAUGGGAGGACAAGUCUUUG